rnacentral:rRNA from 1 species
AUAGCGUAUAUUAAAGUUGUUGCAGUUAAAAAGCUCGUAGUUGAACUUCAGACCUGGCCGGGCGGUCUGCCUCACGGUAUGUACUGUCUGGCUGGGUCUUACCUCUUGGUGAGCCGGCAUGUCCUUCACUGGGUGUGUCGGGGAACCUGGACUUUUACCUUGAGAAAAUUAGAGUGUUCAAAGCAGGCCUAUGCCCGAAUACAUUAGCAUGGAAUAAUAAAAUAGGACGUGCGGUUCUAUUUUGUUGGUUUCUAGAGUCGCCGUAAUGAUUAAUAGGGAUAGUUGGGGGCAUUCGUAUUCAGUUGCUAGAGGUGAAAUUCUUGGAUUUACUGAAGACGAACUACUG